CAGCUGAUUGGCUCACCGUGGCCCCAGCAACCAGCUGAUUGGCUCCUCUGCGGUGAUGCUCAUUGGGCUGUUUCCCCGCCCUUUCAGAACACAGAGCUGCUCAAUGGGGGACUCUUUUGGCUCCGCCCACAUGACCCAACCAAUCGGCCUCAAGAGUGGGAAGAGAUUGGGGGAGGUGCUCACAGGGAGUGCCUGAGGUGGCAGUUGGGCUCUGAGGGAAUUCCUGAAGAGCUCCUGUGGUGCAGCGUGUGUUCUAAAAAUAAAAUUCAUCUUGCUUGAUAAGUGGCUCCUGAAUUGUGCCCAGCCAGACUGCGGCAUUUGGUGGCCCAGACGGGGAACGCCUGAAGCUUGGGGGUAAGUGAAAUUGCUCGCCCCUGAGGAAGAGCGAGAGAAUGGGUGACCAUUUUAAAAAACAAUGUGUUCUUGUUUUGAUUUAUUUUAUUUUUAAGUUGCCUGUCCCUAGAACUUUUUCAGGCAAACUGGGAAAAGUGGUUGGCUCAGGGUUUGAAGUUGUUCCACCCUAAGGAAGAGAUAAAGAUAGACCACGAAAAUACAUUUCAAGAAAAAUAGGAAAAUUGAUACAACGAUAUUUUGUUCCGUUUUUGUUUCAUUCUGUUUCAGUUUUGUUUUGUGUUAUCUUGUUGGGUUGCAUUAUCUUUAUAGUAGAUUAGAAAUUAGUAAAAAACAAACCGAAAGAGUGUUAAGUAAAUUGUUAGAGGUUCAGACUAUGGUAGAAAACAUGUUAGAUCAAGCAAAAGAGAAGGUCUCUCGAGUUAGAGGAAGAAAAUUUAAAGGAGGAAGGACUAUCAGGGAAAAAGUUACAACAGGAGGCUGCUACUAACACCGUACUAUCACCAGAGGGCGUAAGUGUCCAACCAAUAGCUCCGCCUCCAUAUACUGGGAGGCCCCCCAACCCCCGUAGUUGAUAGAUGGGAUCCUGAGACAGGACCUCAAAGAUUAGCAUGCUCUGUAUUUGAGCAGGCAGGAGGACAGUGAAUUCACCAUGUUUUAGAUUUCAAAACAGUGAAGCAGCUAAAAGAGGCCUAUGGUCUUCAAGCACCCUUCACUGUAAACAUGGUCGAAUCCAUUACCAAUUUGAGCAUGACGCCAGCAGAUUGGACUAGUAUGUGUAAAGCUGUGCUAAAUGGAGGACAAUACCUGUUAUAGAAGGUUGCCAAUGAGGAAUUUUGCACAGAGACGGCUAGGCAAAAUGCAGCAGCCGGUUAUCCUCAGAGAAAUCUAGAUAUGUUGUUAGGAAAGUGACCUUAUGAGGGUCAGCACAAACAAAUUGCAUAUGAUCCUGCCAUAUACUCACAAAUUGCUGUAGAUGCGGUUAGGGCAUGGAAGACUUUACAAGGACAUGGAGGUUUACAAGGUCAAUUAUCUAAGGUAAUACAAGGAGCUAAUGAACCUUACGCUGAAAUUGUAGAUACGCUUAUUCAAACAGCUACCAGAGUUUUUGGGGAUACAGAACAAGCAAUACCAUUAAUAAAACAACUGGCUUAUGAGCAAGCAAAUUGUUGGUGCAGAGAGGUCAUUAGACCAUGGAAACAUGAAGAUUUAAACACAUAUAUUAAAUUAUGUAGAGAUAUUAAUGAACAAGGGCAAGUCUUGGCAGCUGCAGUACAACAGGCUUUAGAUGCCAGGCCAAAAACAUGCUGCAAUUGUGAACAAACAGGACAUUUUAAAAGGAAUUACCCCAUAGAAGAAGGGUUUAACAAUACUAGGUAUCAAAGGGGUAUUUGCUCACGAUGCUGUAGAGGAAGACAUUGGGCUAAUGAAUGCCGUUCUCAAACCACCAUAGAGGGUACUCCGUUAUCAAAAAACAGACAAGGACCAGGUGUUUACCCACGAUAUCAUGGAGAAAGGCAUCAGGCUCCAUUGCCAAAAAACGGACAGGGGGGCCCAAUGCUCCGGGGCCCANCAAAAACCUGGUAUGUUUUAGUUAUAGAUAUUAAAGAUUGUUUUUUUUUUUUUCAAUUCCAAUUCAUCCUGAGGAUAGUCCACGUUUUGCAUUUACUAUCCCUGCACUGAAUCAUGAAGGUCCUGAUCAGAGAUAUGAAUGGAAAGUACUCCCUCAAGGGAUGGCUAACAGCCCAACUAUGUGUCAAAUUUAUGUUAACAAAGUAAUCCAGCCACUUAGAAAUCAAAAUCCUGAACUACAAAUAUUUCACUAUAUGGAUGAUGUAUUAUUAGCACACAAAGAUAAAAACACAUUGCUAGAAUGUUAUGCCACACUUACAAACUUAUUAAAAAAUUAUAAUCUAGAGAUAGCAAUAGAUAAAGUACAAUUAAAUUUUCCAAUUAAUUAUUUAGGAGUUCUAUUAUCCUCAACCAUGGUCCAUCCACCAAAAAUUCAAAUACGAGUAGAUCAACUCAAAUCACUUAACGACUUUCAAAAGUUAUUAGGAGACAUAAAUUGGAUAAGGCCUUAUCUAGGCAUACCAACAGGAGAGUUGGGACCUUUAUUUGAUAUCCUAAAAGGUCCAUCAGAUCCAAAUUCACCCCGAAUGUUAACGCCUGAAGCAAGAAAGGCAUUAAAAAUCAUUGAAACAUAUAUGGAAAAUAUGCAUUUGGAUAGAAUUGAUAUAAGUUUGCCUUUAUUAUUUAUUGUACUACCAACAAAAAAUAUUCCUACAGGAGUAUUUUGGCAAGAAGGUCCAUUAUUAUGGAUACAUUUAUCUUAUUCUCCUAACACUAUUCUUACUAGGUAUCCUGAGGCUGUAGGACAAUUAAUACUCAAAGGAAUAAAAGCAGCAAAGGGAGUGUUUGGAAUUUUUCCCAAUAAAAUUAUUACUCCAUAUACAAUGGAUCAAAUUGAUGAGUUAGCUAAUGAGAUAAAUACUUGGGCAAUAAUCAUGUGCAAAUCUAAUGUUUCAUUUGAUAACCACUUACCAUCUAAUCCUUGUUACCUUUUUGGUCAUCGCAUCCUGUCAUUUUUCCAAAAAUGACAAGAAAAACACCCAUCAUGAAUGCUCCAAAUAUAUUCACUGAUGGGUCAAAUAAUGGUACAGCAGCAGUAGUUACACCUGAUCAAACUUUUACAUUGUUAGUACCCAAACAAUCAGCUCAAAAGGUAGAGUUUAAUACAGUAUUACAAGCUUUUGUGAUGUUUAAAGAUUCUGUAUUUAAUUUAUUUUCCGAUAGUCAGUAUAUAGUUAAUGUUAUAGUAUCCCUUGAAGAUGCCGGUAGGAUUUCCCCUUCCUCUACUGUUUUCUCUUUGUUUUCCACUAUACAAAGUCUAAUCUGGGACAGAAAAGAUCCAUUCUUUAUAGGACAUAUCAAGGCACAUACAGGAUUGCCUGGAACCCUUAGUUUGGGCAAUGAUUUAGCAGAUAAAACUACACAUGACAUACAUAUUUUCUCUACACUAGAAGAAGCUACAAAUUUUCAUAAAAAGUUCCAUGUCAAUGCUAAUACUUUACAAAAGCGUUUUAAAAUAACUAAGGAACAAGCUAGACAAAUAAGAAAACAAUGUCAAAAUUGUGUGACCUUUUUGCCACAAGUUAAUCUUGGAGUCAAUCCUAGAGGACUGAUACCUAACCAUAUUUGGUAGAUGGACAUCACACACUUGCCAGAAUUUGGAAAAUUAAAAUAUUUGCAUGUUACAGUUGAUACUUCUUCCGGAUUUUUGAUGGGCUCCCUUCAUACUGGAGAAAAAAUUAAGGAUAUUAUAGCUCAUUGCUUACAAAAUUUUGCCACUGUGGGUGUUCCAAAACAGUUAAAAACAGAUAACUUCUUCCUCUUUUAAACAAUUUUGCUCAUCAUUUGGCAUUACUCAUAUAACAGGAAUCCCAUACAAUCCACAGGGACAAGGCACAGUUGAAAGAGCUCAUCAAACUAUUAAAAUGUACUUAUUAAAGCAAAAAGAGGAAAUUGGGAAGGGGUAUAUAUCCCCCAAAGGUAAACUUAAAAUAACCCUUUUUACUCUAAACUUUUAAAAUUUGGAUUCAUCAGGGCUUAGUGCUGCGGAAAGGCAUAUGUGUCCAAAAAAUGUACAUAAGCCCAAGGUACUUUGGAAGGAUAUUCUAACAGGACAAUGGAAAGGUCCUGACCCAGUGAUUGUCUGGAGUCGGAGGUCUGUUUGUGUGUUUCCACAGGGAGAACAGCAGCCAAUUUGGAUUCCAGAGAGAUUAACUAAAGCGAUUUCUACAGACCAAAAAGAAGAUGAUUUGGCUCAAAUCCAUAACAGCUAAUAUCCAGAACUCCAGUUUGGCUAUCCUUACAUCUGUGACAGUGGUUCUCCCACACCUGGAGGCUAAUGAAACCAGGAUUUUUUUUUCAAUAUCUAUUUUAUUGUUGCCCUUUCCCAAAUCAUAAAGUUCUAUUUUGUUUUUUGAGCUCAUACAGACCUAGGUUAAUGUUUUGCUGAUCAGUUCUAUUUUUGACUAUAGAGUUUUUAAACAUUGCAAUGGAGAUUUCACCUGUAAAGAGUUAUAAGGCCUUUACUAUUAUGUUAUGUGUUGUAUGAAUUAUAUUAUGUGUGCACACUUGUGUUUUGUGUUGUAUGUUUGUAUGUGCAUAUGUCCAUAUAUCAUAUAUGACGAGCGCUCAUGAAAAAAUGGAUCCAAAUAUUUUUUUCUUAUUCACAUGAUUUAAAUGGUUUAAUUUAAAUUGGGUAAACAGCUGUUGAGGAUUGUUUUAAUAUGUGAACAAAAAAGGAGGUUAACAGAUCUAUUUGUUUACUUUCACCUUUCCUUUUCAUUAUAUUUAAUAAUUCUGUUCAGGAUAAUGUAAAUUGCUCAGAAAAUUGUUUUCUUUUAGUGCCUGCUGGAAUGUUACGUAAUAUUUUCUUUAACCAUUAUUGCCAGAAUUCUUAUCUUCAUCCCAGUGCCGGUGAAGACAAAGAUAAAACCAAACUACAGCUUCUUCAAUAGCUAUCACUGAACUGCUUGCAGAACUUGCAUCAACUAUGUAUCACUUGUAUGCAUUAUGAACUAUCUGUUGGUGCAGCGACUUGUGGUAGUGCCGGGGUAUUUUUGCUGAUGGUGUCAUCGGUGGUACAAUUUUUCCAAAAGGAGCCGUCAAUUGGCUUGGUGUAUCCUCCUCCCUUCUGCUUAUGAUGGUCGUUCAGCUAAAAUUUGGGGGCCAACAGAGGUGAGGCAAAGAACCUCACCCCCCCACUGGUACAAAGGCCUAUCUACAGGUGUGGCUGUAUGCUGGACCGGUAGUCAAUGAUGGGUAAGAUCCAAUUGCAAUGGUACCAACCUAAGACAGGAGGCUGACGCCUUGAGGUCAGCUCAUCCGAUGACGGGUAAGGACCAUAUGUAGUAUUGGACAACUUAAGACAGGCACAGUCCCUAAGCCACAUGCUUGUUGUUUAAUUAAACAGAGAGGGGGAGAUGUUGAGAGCCACAGCCAAAGCAGCCCCAGCAAACUUCCAGCUGAUUGGCUCACAGCGGCCCCAGCAAACUUCCAGCUGAUUGGCUCACCGCAGCCCCAGCAACCAGCUGAUUGGCUCCUCUGCGGUGAUGCUCAUUGGGCUGUUUCCCCUCCCUUUCAGAUCACAGAGCUGCUCAUUGGGGGACUCUUUUGGCUCCGCCCAUUCGACCCAGCUAAUCGGCCUCAAGAGUGGGAAGAGAUUGGGGGAGGUGCUCACAGGGAGUGCCUGAGGUGG
rnacentral:lncRNA from 1 species